GAGUGCCAUGUUUACAGCUCACACUCUGAUUGGCUGCCAGCUGGAAGCAAAACCAUCUAAACCAAUGGAGAGCAGCUUUCUGAACAUUGUCAAGAUUAAAAAGGUGGAGCUAAGCACGUGAAUUUAA